rnacentral:rRNA from 1 species
AGGACGAACGCUGGCGGCGUGCUUAACACAUGCAAGUCGAACGGGGGACUUCGGUCCUAGUGGCGAACGGGUGAGUAAAGUGCAAAUAACCUGCCUCAAAGAUGGGGACAACAGCUCGAAAGGGUUGCUAAUACCGAAUGUUGUAUAGAGAGGGCAUCCUGAUUAUACUAAAGAUUUAUCGCUUUGAGAGGGGUUUGCAUCCGAUUAGGCAGUUGGCGGGUAAAAGCCCACCAAACCGACGAUCGGUAACCGGUCUGAGAGGAUGAACGGUCACAUUGGAACUGAGACACGGUCCAGACUCCUACGGGAGGCAGCAGUGGGGAAUAUUCCACAAUGGAGGGAACUCUGAUGGAGCGACGCCGCGUGAAGUGAAGAAGGGUUUAGGCUCGUAAAGCUCUUUUCUUGCAGAUGAAUGACUUAUUAGAUAAGUAGGGACAGUAUGUAAGGAAUAAGCCACGGCUAACUACGUGCCAGCAGCGGC